UACGUAGGGGGCAAGCGUUGUCCGGAAUCAUUGGGCGUAAAGAGCGUGUAGGCGGCCCAGUAAGUCCGCUCUGAAAGUCCGGGGCUCAACCCCGGGAGGCGGGUGGAUACUGCUGGGCUCGAGUCCGGAAGAGGCGAGUGGAAUUCCUGGUGUAGCGGUGAAAUGCGUAGAUAUCGGGAGGAACACCUGAGGCGAAGGCGGGCUACUGGGCCGAUACUGACGCUGAUGCGCGAAAGCCAGGGGAGCGAACGGG
rnacentral:rRNA from 1 species